AGAGGUCUGUGCUCCCAGGGCCUCCACACAGCCAGGAGUGGAGACCAAGGAGGCCCAACGGGCAGUGCCGACUAAAACUUACUAGACGUUUUCUGGAAUACCCGAGUCUAAUCCCCGCCUUCAGUCUCUGCAGAUACAAAACAGAAGACUGAAUCAUCUGGGUGAAGUCUUAGAGGGAAAAUAUAAAGUCAUUCAGAAAGCAUAGCACUCAAUUUUUAAUCUAUUUUUUGCUAAAUAUUUAAUAUCGUGGAAGCUCCACCCCUUCCAGCAUGUAUUUUCUCCAUCACACGACGAGGAAGUCUCUCUCUUGCUCUGUGUUCUGUCUCUGAUGUCUUUUGCACUUUCCCCUGCAUGGGCUCACAGUCUAUGAAUGAACCAAGCACAACGAGCCAAGGAAAGAGUUAGGUGGCGUCAGGAGGUUUAGAGAAUCGUUUAGACUGUGGGACCGUGACACAGUUCUGGACACUCCAUACAUCACCACCGCUAGUGCCGAAGCUCUUAAGAAAGAGAUGGGCAGCAUCUCCCACACACGUAUGAUCACAGGAUCUCCUUCCCAAAGCACCUCCUGUGGCCUUUGUGCUGUGGACACAGGCCAGGAAAUCUGAGCUGCGUGGCUGACGCUCAGGCCUUCUCAGCUCACAGCGUGAGCAGCCGGGGUCAGAUGAAGCCCUCGGAGGGAGAGAACACAUUCAUAACAUGACCCUUCUGCUCAGUUCCCCCUUGAGCAGAGUGGCUCAUGCCUGGCUGUGGGGUGCAGGGAGACAGGGCAGCUGGAAGAAGGCUGGUGUGCUCGCCCGAGAGACGAGGAGACACGUUUCCGGUCCUCCCUGGAGAAGACGAGGCUGCUGGACAUUUGAAGACCAUCCCGCAAAGAAAGGCUGUGGCAGGAGGGCAGGAGGACAUCAGACAGGCGGCAGCAGCAGCUUGAGAGUCGGGGUCAAGCCUGAGACACUCCCAGGAAGACACGGGGACACAGCCCGUGCGCGCAGACCAGGGGCUGAGCGCUACCGGGAAAACCGCGUCAGAGGAAGGCGGCGCUGAGCCCACGGGAGACCAAGCUCCAAGUGUGGAAAACGUCUUUACUGAGUCUUGCAUUUCAGAGAGAAAGCUGUACGACCUGCACACGCAUCCUGUUAUGUUUUUGUAAUUUUCCUUUUCUUCCUGCCAAUAGUUUGUUUUGUUAUCCAGAUGGGUAACUACAAAUUUAGUACACAGUGAUUCAACUUGGAGCUUCUCUCUAUAAACAGUUGCUACUGAAAUUCAAAUGACAUGUGACAGGCGUUAAUGACCUCGGGGUCGUAGCCAGCGAUGUGCCCACGGUGGCUCGAGCCUGCAGGCACCCAGGUCGCUGGGCGGACACCCCUGACCACUGUGCUCCCUGAGAAAGGGAACAGACAUAGAGAAGAGGUGGUCACUCGGACGAUAAGAGCACCAAUCUAGCAAAUACUGGUAAUUUAAUAUGGUUUGGUCUAAUAGUACCAGUACCAAUAUUGCUACCAGAUAUCUGGAGGGCUAUCCUUUCAAACGUUGAGUUGUCCACGCCCCACUUGAACCCCUCCUUCCAACUGAGGCAUCUGUAGGUGUCAGCAUGUCCCACAGAUGUCAUCCUUUCCACUGUUUAUCCGUCAACCAUUUGCAAAACACUAAUAAUAGAACCUUUAUUAUGAAAACACCCAGGCACCUUCCUCCCAAAGUCUAAAAUCCGAAGUCACUUCUACUAAUGAAAAGGAAUGCACUCCCACAUCUGAAAAGAAUGUCUUUAAACAGAAUGUCAAAAAUGAGCAGAAAUUGUUUAUUCCAGAAUUUGUUUAGACCACCCCCUCUGCGGCAAGGCUUGGGUGGACCACAAUCACAUUCUUGCUUUGUUGUUUAGAAAGAUACGGUAUGCCAAAAGUUGUGCAAACCCAUGACAUAUGCCACAUAACAUGAGUCAUUUUAUCUUUCAAAUACCGAAAAGGAACCUUAAUAGCUGUUGUGCGCCAGUUCCAGCCUGUCAAUAACCGGCACUGUGACUGGACCAGCCCUUGUGGUUCUCAUUAUGAUUGCAAGACGCUCCUCAGCACUGCCAUUGGGAAACUCCAAAACUAGAGGUUCAUUACUUAUAGAACCUGGAAUUGCAUGGCACAGCUGGUGCCACACUGCAAGGUCAGGGCACAGAGAGACAGACAGAAGGAGGGAGGGAGAGACGGGUCCUGUGAGGACAAGCCUGCGGUCCUACCUUUCCUGGGGCUCCACUUGGGGCCCUAGGGUUUUCCUGGGCUCCCUCUUUACUGGGGGAUUUAAAACAUAAGAGCAGGAAUUUAAAAUGCAGGAAGAGAGAAUAAAUCAAGUGGUCCAAUGACCA
rnacentral:lncRNA from 1 species